ACGAACGCUGGCGGCGUGCCUAAUACAUGCAAGUCGAACGGUCUUUCUAUGGAAGCUUGCUUCCACUGAGAAGAUAGUGGCGAACGGGUGAGUAACACGUGGGUAACCUGCCCAUAAGAGGGGGAUAACAUCCGGAAACGGGUGCUAAUACCGCAUAGUUUUCUUGAUCGCAUGAUCGGGAAAGGAAAGACGGCCUUUGUGCUGUCGCUUAUGGAUGGACCCGCGGCGUAUUAGUUAGUUGGUGAGGUAAUGGCUCACCAAGACGAUGAUACGUAGCCGACCUGAGAGGGUGAUCGGCCACAUUGGGACUGAGACACGGCCCAAACUCCUACGGGAGGCAGCAGUAGGGAAUCUUCCGCAAUGGACGAAAGUCUGACGGAGCAACGCCGCGUGAGUGAAGAAGGUUUUUCGGAUCGUAAAACUCUGUUGUCAGAGAAGAACAAGCUGGAGAGUAACUGCUCCAGCCUUGACGGUAUCUGACCAGAAAGCCACGGCUAACUACGUGCCAGCCGCCGC
rnacentral:rRNA from 1 species